rnacentral:rRNA from 1 species
CUACCUUGUUGCUUUGGCGGGACCGCUCGGUCUCGAGCCGCUGGGGAUUCGUCCCAGGCGAGCGCCCGCCAGAGUUAAACCAAACUCUUGUUAUUUAACCGGUCGUCUGAGUUAAAAUUUUGAAUAAAUCAAAACUUUCAACAACGGAUCUCUUGGUUCUCGCAUCGAUGAAGAACGCAGCGAAAUGCGAUAAGUAAUGUGAAUUGCAGAAUUCAGUGAAUCAUCGAAUCUUUGAACGCACAUUGCGCCCCUUGGUAUUCCGAGGGGCAUGCCUGUUCGAGCGUCAUUACACCACUCAAGCUAUGCUUGGUAUUGGGCGUCGUCCUUAGUUGGGCGCGCCUUAAAGACCUCGGCGAGGCCACUCCGGCUUUAGGCGUAGUAGAAUUUAUUCGAACGUCUGUCAAAGGAGAGGAACUCUGCCGACUGAAACCUUUAUUUUUCUAGGUUGACCUCGGAUCAGGUAGGGAUACCCGCUGAACUUAAGCAUAUCAAUAA